rnacentral:misc_RNA from 1 species
GAAAUGCGAUAAUUAAUGUGAAUUGCAGAAUUCAGUGAAUCAUCGAGUCUUUGAACGCACAUUGCGCCCCCUGGUAUUCCGGGGGGCAUGCCCGUCCGAGCGUCAUUGCUGCCCUCAAGCACGGCUUGUGUGUUGGGCUUCCGUCCCUGGCAACGGGGACGGGCCCAAAAGGCAGUGGCGGCACCAUGUCUGGUCCUCGAGCGUAUGGGGCUUUGUCACCCGCUCCCGUAGGUCCAGCUGGCAGCUAGCCUCGCAACCAAUCUUUUUAACCAGGUUGACCUCGGAUCAGGUAGGGAUACCCGCUGAACUUAAGC